GAUGAAGAACGCAGCGAAAUGCGAUAAGUAAUGUGAAUUGCAGAAUUCAGUGAAUCAUCGAAUCUUUGAACGCACAUUGCGCCCGCUAGUAUUCUGGCGGGCAUACCUGUCCGAGCGUCAUUUCAACCCUCAAGCCCCCGGGCUUGGUGUUGGGGAUCGGCGAGCCUCCGCGCCCGCCGUCCCCUAAAUCUAGUGGCGGUCUCGCUGUAGCUUCCUCUGCGUAGUAGCACACCUCGCACUGGGAAACAGCGCGGCCACGCCGUUAAACCCCCAACUUCUGAACGUUUGACCUCGGAUCAGGUAGGAAUACCCGCUGAACUUAAGCAUAUCAAUAAGCGGAGGA
rnacentral:misc_RNA from 1 species